rnacentral:snoRNA from 1 species
UUUCCGUGAUGAAUCAAACUAGCUCACUAUGACUUACACAAACCAACUUACGUUCGGAGUGAACA